CCAGCACAGGAGACUGCUGCUACAGAUCUUCAUGAGAAACCCUAUACAAAAAUAAUUUACAACUGGGAUUUAAAGUGUGUCACCAUUGCUUGAGCUGUUGAUGGUAUGUUAACUGGUCUUCUCAGCCCUUAGAUUUCUUCACCCCAUCCCCUGCCAGGUUCCAUCAGAGGAAAAGUAGGUUUAAAUGUACGCUUAUUUAUUUAUUUAUUUAUUUAUUUAUAUAACAGAUACUUGGGGGAAAUUGGACUUCCAUGUCCCUAUACUUUCCAAAAUGACAUAAUGAGCAUCAAUGACAGGGUAACAUCACAGCCCUGAGCCAUCAGAACAAAUUGCCAUUGCAGCCCAGCUGCGCGCACACAGAGUCUCUCACUGAUGAAGCCAGGAUCAAGAAUGCAAACCAAUGCGCGGCAGCACUUAGCAUUCAGCCUGCAUCGCUCAGACUGAAACGCACUGUGCUAAUGAGGAAGAGAGCUGAAUGCCACGAAAUCCCCGCUGUACUGGUUCUAAAAACAGCUGGAUGCCCUGAAAGAUGAAGGUGGACACGGGAGGCAAACAGCCAGAAGCAUG
rnacentral:lncRNA from 1 species